AGAGCGGCAUUGUGAAAAAAUGCAGCACAAAGCGCGAGUUAGGGUUUUAUUUGUCAAAAACUCUCUUUCUCAAACGGCAACAAAGCUCUCUCUGGUUGGCCAUUUUGCUUUUGGUAUUCUGCUUGCAAAGCUCUCCUUGUUCCUAAUUGGGGUUUCAAUUAGUUCAAUAUCUGACCAAUGGUGAUGAACUUAAUAAAACCUGAAGCAGGAGGCACUGGAAUCAGGAGCUUGUGCAAUGUGGAAAGUGAUCAUAUUUCGAUGACCAAAUGUGUCAAAAGACGUCGAAGAUCUCCUUCACUUGCUCAAGUUGUUGAACCACAACAUAGUUAGCCACUUUUUCACGCAAACUGCUAAAUUCUUGAGGAAGGAAUUAUCACCCCAGAAAGAGGCUAGUAAUUCCAUUAAUGCCAUGGAAGCCUCAAAACCUGUAUAUCCAAGGCUCAUAAAAACAACUAUUAAACAAUUGAGCAUCGAGGAGACGAAAGAAAUAAGAAGACGAGGAUUAGCUGUUCCCACCUUGACAAGACUUGGUACAUAGACUCUGUGUUGUUCAUAUUGUUAUUAAUUCUAGCAGAGACUCAUAUACUUUUUGUUGAGAUGUAGCAAGGAAUGGCUACUAUUACAGUCUUGUAGCUACGGUCUGUGAUGCUUUUCUUGUGGAAGAGCUGAUUCGUGUAGACUGUAAAGGCCUUGAAAUGGGUAAUUAUGCCUUGCUCUUGUAUUGUACUUUUGUCUUAGUUUUAUUGCCUUUAUUCAUAUAUAUAUAACUAAUUAAUUCCAGUCUCCCCCCUCCUACCCUCAGAACCAUCUCUGUCGAUUUUUCGGUUUGGACCCUUUUGACUUUACAACACAAUGUAUCUUCCUAUUUUUUAUCUUCUUAAUUAUGGUUUCUGCUUGCUGGAGUAUCUCAAUAUGGUUUGUUAUGCACCAGUUAAGUUCUGUUCUAAGUCCAUUUAGACGUGUCUCUACAGUUUUGUUUCAUAAAAGUUUAACUAGUUCAUCAUUACUUGUUUUGCUUGGAUCAGGGGUUUUGAUAUGCAUUAGAAUGGUCAGGGAUUGUCCUUUGAUUAUUGUUCCUAUUUCAUGUCUUUUGCUCAAGAAUGUUAUAAUAAUUGUCCUUUGAUAUCUAAAAUACUUAUAAGAGCUUGUUGUACUCUGAUUAGACGAUUUGAGAUCACUGGUCAUUUGCUUUUGCUGGCCUUGUGCAAGAUUAUUGUUUAUGAUAACUUAUUUGCCAGUUGAUCCUAAUAAGUCAUCUGUGUACUGCACUUAGCCUCCUUCUUAGGUCAGGGUGUUUAAAGAACUAGCGGAGAAGAAUUCGAAUGACGAAGCCGCACACAAGGGAAGGUGAUCAGAAUUCAAAUGAGAAGUCAAGAAUUUGAAGAGAUGAGAAAGUAGAUGGAAGAAAUGAAGAGCUGACUUGCAAAUUAGAUAUUGUGUACGAGACAAGCUAGCUUUUUUAUAUGUUAUGUAUGAAGUAUGUGUGACCUAUGAAUUAUAACCUCGGAUGUUUGGAUAUUGCUUUUGCUUUUAAUUUAUGACUUUUUCUUUUA